GUGGGGAAUAUUGGACAAUGGGCGCAAGCCUGAUCCAGCCAUACCGCGUGGGUGAAGAAGGCCUUCGGGUUGUAAAGCCCUUUUGUUGGGAAAGAAAUCCUGUCGGUUAAUACCUGGCGGGGAUGACGGUACCCAAAGAAUAAGCACCGGCUAACUUCGUGCCAGCAGCCGCGGUAAUACGAAGGGUGCAAGCGUUACUCGGAAUUACUGGGCGUAAAGCGUGCGUAGGUGGUGGUUUAAGUCCGUUGUGAAAGCCCUGGGCUCAACCUGGGAAUUGCAGUGGAUACUGGAUCACUAGAGGGUGGUAGAGGGAUGCGGAAUUUCUGGUGUAGCAGUGAAAUGCGUAGAGAUCAGAAGGAACAUCCGUGGCGAAGGCGGCAUCCUGGGCCAACACUGACACUGAGGCACGAAAGCGUGGGGAGCAAACAGGAUUAGAUACCCCUGUAGUCC
rnacentral:rRNA from 1 species